GCCAGGAUGGUAGAGGUUUGAGUGUUGGACUAUGACUCUGGAGACCAGGGUUCAAAUCCCCGCUCAGCCA
rnacentral:tRNA from 1 species